rnacentral:SRP_RNA from 1 species
GCCGGGUGUGGUGGCGCACACCUGCAGUCCCAGCUACUCCGGAGGCUGAGGCAGGAGAAUCGUUUGAACCCGGGAGUUGGAGGUUGCAGUGAGUCGAGACUGUGCCACUGCACUCCAGCCUGAGUGACAGAGCGAGACUCUGUCUCAA